CCUACGGGAGGCAGCAGUGGGGAAUAUUGGGCAAUGGGCGCAAGCCUGACCCAGCAACGCCGCGUGAAGGAAGAAGGCCCUCGGGUUGUAAACUUCUUUUGUCAGGGACGAAACGAAUGACGUUACCUGACGAAUAAGCCACGGCUAACUAGGUGCCAGCAGCCGCGGUAAUACGUAGGUGGCAAGCGUUAUCCGGAUUUACUGGGGGUAAAGGGCGUGUAGGCGGGAGAGCAAGGCAGAUGUGAAAUUCCAGGGCUCAACCCUGGAACUGCAUUUGAAACUGUUUUUCUUGAGUGCUGGAGAGGCAGGCGGAAUGCCGUGUGUAGCGGUGAAAUGCGUAGAUAUACGGAGGAACACCAGUGGCGAAGGCGGACUGCUGGACAUUAACUGACGCUGAGGCGCGAAAGCGUGGGGAGCAAACAGGAUUAGAUACCCGAGUAGUC
rnacentral:rRNA from 1 species